GAGCUGACCCACAUUUUCUCCAAUAAAGUCUGAACGCCUUCUAAAUUUGUCCUUGACUACUCUCCAUCAGCCCUAAGAUACCAUACAGAGUUUCUUUACAUCAUAUCAUUCCUUCUUUUUUUCUGAAAAACAAACAAACGAAAGUUUAUUGAUGACGUUAAAGAAAAACGCUGCGGGCGGGUGGCUGGAGCCAGGGUUACGUGGGCUGCUGGUCCUGGUCUCAACGGUGCGUCUCUGAGAUCAGUUAUCACAGCUUGGCCACGUGGCGCAUGUGCGUCCUGAUGACGCUCUCGUAGUCCCUCACCGACAGCACUGAGCCCUUUGACAGUGCUGAGUGGCUGGGGCCCACGGUCCUCCGGGGCUGUCCCUCCAACCAGGAAAUCUUCAGAGGGUUAUCCACCAGGCCAACUCCAUUCUGGACCGCCAGCUUCGCAGUCUUGACAGUCGCAAACUCCACCACAGCAGUGCCUGCCUUCUUCCUGGAAAGCACCAUAAAUUCUUACUAUAGUACUUUAGGGAGCAAAAUCCACAUCAGAAAUUUAUAUAAUACCACAAUGGAUGACUUCCAGCAGUAAGAGAAUACUCUAUUUCCAGAUACUCCACUUUGAAACCCAGUCACUAUACUUUGAGAAAGUUAAGAAGUGACGAUGUUAGUUGACCUCACCUGACAGCAUGCCUCGACUACUCAAUAUGAGUGAUAAAACCUUCACAUGAAUCUCAUUUUCAACCUUCAUGCCACCCCAGUUCGUGCCAAGCAGAGAAGUCCCCACCAAUACCUACUCCAAUUAAAGAUUGGUAAGCAAGAAUAAAUAUUGCCAUUGUUUUGCUCUACUAAGUAUUGAGGUGAUUUGUUAGAGAAAUGAUAAUCAGAAAGAGGGAAAUCUCAUUGACUAUCUAGAUAGCUUUUAGAUGAUGAUAAUAAAAUUGUGAAAGAUUUACAAUAUGUUUAUCAUUUGGAACAUAUCCCCUUUAUCAAUCAAUUAUUUUUUUCCAGAAAAUUGAUGGGGACUAUAAAAUC
rnacentral:lncRNA from 1 species